rnacentral:rRNA from 1 species
UACGGAGGGUGCGAGCGUUAAUCGGAAUUACUGGGCGUAAAGCGCACGUAGGUGGUUCGUUAAGUCGGAUGUGAAAUCCCUGGGCUCAACCUGGGAACUGCAUUCGAUACUGGCUGGCUAGAGUGUGGUAGAGGGGAAGUGGAAUUCCAGGUGUAGCGGUGAAAUGCGUAGAUAUCUGGGGGAACAUCAGUGGCGAAGGCCGGCUUCCUGGACCAACACUGACGCUGAGGCGCGAAAGCGUGGGGAGCAAACAGGAUUAGAAACCCCUGUAGU